GAUUUCUGAUUAAAUUCAUAUGCACAUUCUGAGAGCUCUGAAUCUUCUACUGGUGAAACUGAGGACCAAAUAGGACACUUGGACCACCUUGAAACCCUUGAGACUUGUAUAAUUGGAGAAUGAAGUCCAAUGCUCAAACUUGCUCUGUGUAGGCCCCUUCUGUUAAGGAGUGAGCAAUCAAACCCUGAUUUCUAAGUCACUAAUGCAGUAUGCAAUGAGUAUGACCUAAUAUGAUGCUAAUGCAGUGUGAAACAAAAUCC
rnacentral:lncRNA from 1 species